GGUGUGGCUGCACUGCCCUGAUGCGGAUACUUAGAUCAGAUGAUAAAGGCUGGUGCGCGUGUGAGCAUAGCAAUCACUUCUAUUUUCCAUGGGGUGCUGAUCAGUGACGAGAAAGUCGACACUUUCAUGUGGAUAUUCACCGAGUUCUUUCAGAUGAUAGGGGCACCACAGCCGCGGUCGAUCCUAAUAGAUCAAGAGCGGGCGAUGGAGGUUGCCAUAGCCGAUGUCAUGCCAGGCACAACACAUCGUUGGUGCAAAUGACAUGUGCUGAAGAAAGUGAAGGAGUCCCUUGGACCACUGCAAGUCAAGGGUAGUGAGUUCAAACCAGAAUUCAACGAGCUGGUGCACCACAUGGUCACUGAAAAAGUGUUGGAGGAUGGCUGGGCAUGUAUGAUUGAGAAGCAUGGGCAAUUGAAAAACCCAUUACUGACACAAAUAUAUGAGAUCAGGAGGAAGUGGGCUAAAACCCUACUUCAUGGGGGUUUUCUGCGCCAAGAUGACCAGCACGCAGCGAAGUGGAAGUGCAAACCAUCUACUAAAGGGGUAUGUGUCCCCGGGUUGCCCGAUGCAUGUGUUCGUUAGACAAUACGAGAAGAUGCAAUUUGAUAGAGAUCCAGAAGAGAGUUGUCAGGAGAAAAGGACAAAACUGGGUGGUGUUGUUCUAACUCAAAACCUGCCUAUUGAGAUACAUGCAUCCAAAAUUUACAUGAGGACUAUGGUUGAAAAAAUUGGGGAGAUGUUUUAUGAAGGCGGGUCGUAUGUUCUGGUUGAAGUUGUACCUUGUCAUGAGUACAUAGCCAGGCAUGUAAAGAACGACUCGAGAGGGAAGUGUGUAAAUAUGAAUUCAUUGUUCAGGUGAACCAUCUUGCUGAUGAGUUCAAGUGUGAGUGCGGGAUGUUCGAUCAUUUCGGGGUGAUGUGCAGCCAUGUUCUUAAGGUCAUGAUCCAGCUUGGCACGCAGGGGUCAAGGUCACAAGAGCAUUACAUGUCUGCAGAGGGGCGAUCUUCCAAAGGUGCCAAGUCGCCUUGCUGCUCCAAAUGCAGCUUCAGACGUCACAGGGAAGAGCACCUGCCUGCACCAACCCCCCAAAAGCGGGCUUCCAUGAUUGAUUUACUGUGUUGUAUGUUUGAAAUUCAGACUGGUAACUGAAAAUAUCCGAUGUUUGUCGAUU